rnacentral:rRNA from 1 species
CCUACGGGACGCAGCAGUAGGGAAUAUUGCUCAAUGGGGGAAACCCUGAAGCAGCAACGCCGCGUGAGCGAAGAAGGUCUUCGGAUUGUAAAGCUCUGUCCUAGGGGAAGAAGAAAAUGACGGUACCCUUGGAGGAAGCCCCGGCUAACUACGUGCCAGCAGCCGCGGUAAUACGUAGGGGGCAAGCGUUAUCCGGAAUUAUUGGGCGUAAAGAGUGUGUAGGUGGUUACCUAAGCAGGGGGUGAAAGGCAAUGGCUCAACCAUUGUUAGACAUCUGAACUGGGUUACUUGAGUG